rnacentral:rRNA from 1 species
ACCCACCAAGGCGACGAUCCGUAGCUGGUCUGAGAGGAUGAUCAGCCACACUGGAACUGAGACACGGUCCAGACUCCUACGGGAGGCAGCAGUAGGGAAUAUUGGACAAUGGGCGCAAGCCUGAUCCAGCCAUGCCGCGUGAGUGAAGAAGGCCUUCGGGUUGUAAAGCUCUUUUGUCCGGAAAGAAAAGCAUCCAGUUAAUACCUGGGUGUCCUGACGGUACCGGAAGAAUAAGCACCGGCUAACUUCGUGCCAGCAGCCGCGGUAAUACGAAGGGUGCAAGCGUUACUCGGAAUUACUGGGCGUAAAGCGUGCGUAGGUGGUUUGUUAAGUCUGAUGUGAAAGCCCUGGGCUCAACCUGGGAAUGGCAUUGGAUACUGGCAGGCUAGAGUGCGGUAGAGGGUAGUGGAAUUCCCGGUGUAGCAGUGAAAUGCGUAGAGAUCGGGAGGAACAUCUGUGGCGAAGGCGACUACCUGGACCAGCACUGACACUGAGGCACGAAAGCGUGGG